CACAAACCAACCGGGCAGUUCAGCUGAGUUCCAAAGUAUACAGCGAGAAGGGUGUCAUCACUGUCCUCGGGGCUCACCUUUAUUCUGAGAGAAGAGACAUCUCCUGGCUGCUGUCCCCUCCCUUCCCCUCCGACGUUGUGAACUGACAGUAAAGGAGUGGAGAGAGGGGGAAGACAUGCAGCAAAGGUCAAUGGGCUGGGACUUGAACUUGUGACAGCUGGCAUCGAAGACUGUGGCCGUGCGUUUGACCCCUGCCCCUGCGCUUUUGCCGUCCCCCCUGUUCAGGACUUUUAAAGUGAAUUUAUGUUAAAUGUUUAUAAGCACAACUUAUAAACUACAACACCUGCAGCAGAUAAUUCUUGUGCCAUCUUCAUUUAGACCAGGACCAACUAGUCAUUUCAGAGUUGCACGUUUUAGAAGAUAAACCUAAUGGUAUUUCAAAAAGGGAAACUUGUUCCUGUUUCCCAUCUCACUGCAUAACAGGUAUCCCCUUUGUAGCAAGUAAACA